UAUAUUUGCAAUCCAAAAACGCGUACAUAAAAAUCAUUUAAAAUAAUAUUGGCAUG
rnacentral:ncRNA from 1 species